GAUGAACGCUGGCGGCGUGCCUAAUACAUGCAAGUCGAGCGAACGGACGAGAAGCUUGCUUCUCUGAUGUUAGCGGCGGACGGGUGAGUAACACGUGGAUAACCUACCUAUAAGACUGGGAUAACUUCGGGAAACCGUAGCUAAUACCGGAUAAUAUUUUGAACCGCAUGGUUCAAAAGUGAAAGACGGCCUUGCUGUCACUUAUAGAUGGAUCCGCGCUGCAUUAGCUAGUUGGUAAGGUAACGGCUUACCAAGGCAACUAUGCAUAGCCGACCUGAGAGGGUGAUCGGCCACACUGGAACUGAGCCACGGUCCAGACUCCUACGGGAGGCAGCAGUCGGGAAUCUUCCGCAAUGGGCGAAAGCCUGACGGAGCAACGCCGCGUGAGUGAUGAAGGUCUUCGGAUCGUAAAACUCUGUUAUUAGGGAAGAACAUAUGUGUAAGUAACUGUGCACAUCUUGACGGUACCUAAUCAGAAAGCCACGGCUAACUACGUG
rnacentral:rRNA from 1 species